rnacentral:rRNA from 1 species
UACGUAGGGCGCAAGCGUUAUCCGGAAUUAUUGGGCGUAAAGAGCUCGUAGGCGGUCUGUCGCGUCGGUUGUGAAAACACAGGGCUCAACCUUGUGCCUGCAAUCGAUACGGGCAGACUAGAGUACUGCAGGGGAGACUGGAAUUCCUGGUGUAGCGGUGGAAUGCGCAGAUAUCAGGAGGAACACCGGUGGCGAAGGCGGGUCUCUGGGCCGUUACUGACGCUGAGGAGCGAAAGCGUGGGGAGCGAACAGG